UAACUCUCGUGGUGUUAGAAUCAGCCUGGAAGAAAGACAUAGUGUUGAUGCUUAUCCUGCCAUACGUGUGUGUGUGUGUGUGUGUGUGUGUGUGUGUGUGUGUGUGUGUGUGUGUGUGUGUGUGUGUGUGUGUGUGUGUGUGUGUGUGUGUGUGUGUGUGUGUGUGUGUGUGUGUGUGUGUGUGUGUGUGUGUGUGUGUGU